ACAGAGGGUGCGAGCGUUGUCCGGAAUCACUGGGCGUAAAGGGCGCGUAGGUGGCUGGGUAAGUGUGCGGUGAAAGCCCGGGGCUCAACCCCGGGUCGGCCGUGCAGAUUGCUUGGCUUGAGCAUAGUAGAGGCAGGUGGAAUUCCGGGUGUAGCGGUGGAAUGCGUAGAGAUCCGGAAGAACACCGGUGGCGAAGGCGGCCUGCUGGGCUAUUGC
rnacentral:rRNA from 1 species